rnacentral:lncRNA from 1 species
GUGGGGAUUACGAUCGAGAUUGAAAGGGUGGAGAUUUCAUAUUAUAGUGGUACCAAUUCAUGUGCCUGUCCAAAGUCGUUGAACUCGUAAGUGAUAGUCUUAUGUUAUAUCUUUAUGAUCGUCUGGCUAUCAUUUUGUGUUUUUCCCCUCGAUAUAGCUCGUUGAUAGUUGCUGUAGUAUAUUUAUUCAUUUUAUUUUUUAGCACACCAGGUCGUCGGUUAGUAUGUUUUUUUCCCUAUCAUAUGACGUCCGCCUUCCGUUAUAUUUUUAGACAUCUGUUACACCACAGUCCCUAGUACUAUAUUAUUUGAAACAAAUAUUGACAUAUUAAGUUAGAGAGAACAUCAUAUAUUCG